AGAAGUGAGAAUGCCGGUGUGAGUAGCGAAAGAUGGGUGAGAAUCCCAUCCACCGAUUGACUAAGGUUUCCAGAGGAAGGCUCGUCCGCUCUGGGUUAGUCGGGACCUAAGCCGAGGCCGACAGGCGUAGGCGAUGGAUAACAGGUAGAUAUUCCUGUACCACCUAAGAUUGUUUGAACGAUGGGGGGACGCAGAAGGAUAGGCGAUCGUACUGUUGGUUAUGUACGUCCAAGCAUCAAGACUGAGCAUCAGGCAAAUCCGGUGCUCAUCAAGGUUGAGAUGUGACGGGGAGCGAAAUUAUAGUAGCGAAGUCGUUGAUUUCACACUGCCAAGAAAAGCCUCUAGUUAGAAAUUAGGUGCCCGUACCGCAAACCGACACAGG
rnacentral:rRNA from 1 species